UGAGGGUUUUAUCAGUAGCUACAGAAACCACUUCCUCUUUUCAGUGUUAGUUUACUAAUCCCUUGAAGCUUGCGUGCACCUUCCACUCCUCACCUUCUGUAGCCACUCACCUCCUCUCACAUCCCACAUUACACUUCUAUGUGCUAUGGGAUCCAUCUAGGCAGUAGUUACUCUUAUUUCAAAACAAGGAUGUUAAAAAUUACUCUACUCAUCAACAAGUGAAAGAUCAUGCCUUGCAGCUUUGUGAGCUGUGCAAGGUGGCUUAGCUUCUUGACUCCGAAGCUUUCCUAAAUACAGAUGGGGUUUCACCGUGUUAGCCAGGAUGGUCUCCAUCUCCUGACCUCAGGUGAUCCACCCACCUCAGCCUCCCAAAGUGCUGGGAUUACAGGCAUGACCCGCUGCGCCCAGCCUAUGAGGAUUAUAUUUUUAAGGUCAGAGGACAGAUUUAUUUGCUGACCAGGAUAUCAAAGAUGAGAUGUUUCCAUCUCCUUCCUGGAGACAAUCCGGCAUAAUCAAGAUAUUGUCUUUUCCAGAGGAGAGGUGGAGAGGUUUGCCAGAAAUCCCUGUAUAAAAUUAGGAUAUCCUCAUCUGAGAGUUCCUCAAUUGUGACAGAGAUUCAUGGAGUGAUUAUUAUUUACCUGGGCCCAUGUCUGCCUUGUCCUCUCCUUCUUUCUUUUAAUAUUAUUAAAUAAAUAUUUUCUAUUAUUAUGAACUCCAUGUACAGAUUUUUAUUAGCUAUAAAUAUUUCCUCAUUUACACAAACUGUAAUUUUUUGCCCACACCUAUAUAAUUUUCUGUUUUUCUCUAC
rnacentral:lncRNA from 1 species